rnacentral:rRNA from 1 species
GUGCAAACGUUGUUCGGAAUCAUUGGGCGUAAAGCGCACGUAGGCGGUUCGUUAUGUCGGAUGUGAAAGCCCUUGGCUUAACCGAGGAAGUGCAUCCGAAACUGGCGAGCUAGAGUACUAAAGAGGAUCGCGGAAUUCCCGGUGUAGAGGUGAAAUUCGUAGAUAUCGGGAGGAACACCGGUGGCGAAGGCGGCGAUCUGGGUAGAUACUGACGCUGAGGUGCGAAAGCGUGGGGAGCAAACAGG